rnacentral:rRNA from 1 species
CUACGGGAGGCAGCGGUGAGGAAUAUUGCACAAUGGGGGGAACCCUGAUGCAGCAACGCCGCGUGGAGGAUGACGCAUUUCGGUGUGUAAACUCCUUUUAUAUGUCAAGAAAAUGACGGUAACAUAUGAAUAAGCACCGGCUAACUCCGUGCCAGCAGCCGCGGUAAUACGGAGGGUGCAAGCGUUACUCGGAAUCACUGGGCGUAAAGGACGCGUAGGCGGGUUGGAAAGUCAGGUGUGAAAUCCUACAGCUUAACUGUAGAACUGCACUUGAAACUUCUAAUCUAGAGUAUGGGAGGGGGAGAUGGAAUUAGUGGUGUAGGGGUAAAAUCCGUAGAUAUCACUAGGAAUACCUAAAGCGAAGGCGAUCUCCUGGAACAUUACUGACGCUAAGGCGUGAAAGCGUGGGGAGCAAACAGGAUUAGAUACCCCAGUAGUC